rnacentral:rRNA from 1 species
CCUACGGGAGGCUGCAGUGGGGAAUAUUGCACAAUGGGGGAAACCCUGAUGCAGCGACGCCGCGUGAGUGAAGAAGGAUUUCGGUACGUAAAGCCCUAUCAGCAGGGAAGAAAAUGACGGUACCUGACUAAUAAGCCCCGGCUAACUACGUGCCAGCAGCCGCGGUAAUACGUAGGGGGCAAGCGUUACCCGGAUUUACUGGGGGUAAAGGGAGCGUAGACGGGGAUGCAAGCCAGAUGUGAAAGCCCGGGGCUCAACCACGGGACUGCAUUUGAAACUGUAUAGCUGGAGUGUCGGAGAGGCAGGCGGAAUUCCUGGUGGAGCGGUGAAAGGCGUAGAUAUUAGGAGGAACACCAGUGGCGAAGGCGGCCUGCUGGACGAUGACUGACGUUGAGGCUCGAAAGCGUGGGGAGCAAACAGGAUUAGAUACCCCUGUAGUC